GAACUGCGGACACUGCAGAGGGAUCACGCCGACCCACUGUGAGGCUCAGCAAGAGUGACAACCACUGCCUAGAAUCCUGCAAGGACUUCUGGUGAUCCCAAGAUGGAAUGUUCUCAAAAGCGAUGUCGACUGCAGGUCUGUUCAUUUGGGGGAUAAAAUGGGGACUGCUUCGCCUUCGCUGGACUCUGUUUCCUCACUGAGGGCGAGGGCUGCCAGCAUACUGCUACCAAGGAGGAGCACCACUGAGACGCUCACGGUUGCUAGAUAUCUCUGAAGCUGAAGGAACUACAGAGCUUGCUGCAGGCUGGAGCAAGGUUAGAUGCAUGUAAGAGUCUGUGCAAACUGCCCACAGCUCACAGAUGAAGGCUGAAGAUGCUACCAACAGUCUCCACUCUCCCACUCUAGUCAUACAAAUCUAGAACAGAGUACCAAGUUGUAAUUCGGCAUUUAAGGGGGGUGACAGAGGAAGCCCACAAGUUCAAGGCCAGCCAGGGCAAUGUCUCUCUUGACAUGCUCUUGCUGAG
ensembl:lncRNA